rnacentral:rRNA from 1 species
ACGCUGAGACAUUGGGACUGAGACACGGCCCAGACUCCUACGGGAGGCAGCAGUGGGGAAUAUUGCACAAUGGGGGAAACGCACGCCGCGUGAGUGAUGACGGCCUUCGGGUUGUAAAACUCUGUCUUUGGGGACGAUAAUGACGGUACCUAG